AUGGUGUCGCACAUUCAGAAUCCAAAAGCGAUCCCCAAUAAGAGCCCCCCAAACUUAGCUAUCUGCAUUCUGCUUUCGUUUCAUGUAGGUUGUUGCAGGAGAUUGGAAGGAGACUGCUGGUCAGCUGGUACCCUGGAGCCAGAAUAACAGGACCUGAUUCUUUUGUUCAAAUACUGAUGUGAUCUCAGCCUAGAAGCUCUACUUUCAAAGCACAUCUUGGUGGCACAGAUUUUCAUGGAGGCCCCACUUUCGGCAGAAUAAAGCUGUGGGUUCUUGCCA
rnacentral:lncRNA from 1 species